CAGAAGGGCAAAGGGAAGCAAGUCUGUACCAUUUCCUAUCAGGGGGUCUCAGGGUCCUAGCACCUUCAGGAUCUUAAGGACCAGGACCAGGACCAGCUAAGCAGUAGAGAAAGUGAAAUUUGGAAAUUCUUCCGGGUAACCCAAAAAGCAACAAUUGAAAGUUUCUUUCCAAUGUACUUCUUAUACCUAACUUCCUGGACCAUCUACCUGAGGCUUAUCUGGGUAUUUAAAGACCCAGGUUUAGGGGCCCUACUGAUUCAAAAUAGAACAUCUAAUGAGAAGAACCUGGGAUUGAGGAAUUUUGAAGAAACCCAAAAGAUACCCAGAAACGCUGUGUUAGAGAACCAUCUUGCCUCAUACAACUUUCAGCUGCAGCUGUUGACAUUUGAGACUGGAUAAUCCUCUGUUACUGGGGCUUCUUUGCAAAGGGCAUGAUGUUCAGCAGCAGCAUGGGCCACUACCCACUAGAUACCAAUAGCAGCACCAACGCUCCAGCUGUAACAGCCAAAAAUGCCUCCAGCCAUUUUCCCAUGUCCCUUGGAACACAGCUGCCCCUAAGAUUGGGACUAUGGUGAUGCUUCAGCCAAGUGUGAGUGUCUAGUGCUUCCCCAUGGGGUGCCUUGUCCAAAUGGCUUCCAUUAGCA